GCAAGGAAACGUCUCAGCCGUGGGAGCUGGAGUUUCUGCGGCGGCUACAGCAGCUUUGACAGCUGUGAUGAGCAGCCCGGCUAUGGCUUUGGUGGACGACAGGAUGUCAACUGAGGGAACCGGCUUGCCCUUUGGACUUAGCAACAACCUCUUGGGAUGGAUUCUUUUGGGAGUGUUUGGUUUGAUCUGGACUUUCUACUUUACCUACACUUCUUCUCUGGACGAGGAUGAAGAAUCUGGUCUUUCACUCUAAACAUGAACUGUAUAUGUUCUUCAUCAGUGUCAUCGCUCUCCUUUUCCAUUUUCGUGUGAGGACAUGAACCAAACAGUGUUAUUCUGGUUACUUGUAAUUUAAGCAAACACCAAAAAAAAACUAUUUUUCAUGUGUACAUGUUUUUACAAUCUGUAGAAUCAAAACACCUAAUACAUUUAAGAAACUUAAUUUUUGUUUAUUAUAAUAAAACCUGCAAGAAAAUAAAAAUAUUAUAGUAGUUUAAAUUCUCUAAAUAAAUAUUAGAAAAACUCAUGUAUAUUAUUGAAAAAAGAUAAAACAAGAUGAUCACUACGAGAAAACAGCGACAUACUGAGAGAAAAAAUCGUCGGUAUGUCGUCGGAAUAACGUUAUUCCGACGACAUACCGACGAAACAAGUUCUCGGAAAUAACUCCUCGGAAAUUCAUUUUUCCUCGGAAAUCCCUCGGAAUUUUCCGACGGAAUUCCGAGGAAACAAAUUUCCGAGGAAAUUCCGAGGACCACAUGUUCGUCGGAAAGCUCCUCGGAAUAUACCGAGAGAGAGCUUCCUCGGGAUAUUUCGAUGGAUUUUCCGAUGGUCCAAUCCUCGGAAGUUCCGACGAAAUGUUCCUCGGAAUUUUCAUCGGAAGAUUCCGAGGGACAUGUCCCUCGGAAAAUUCCGAGGAUCGGUGUCCCUCGGAAUAUUCCGAGGAACGGUGUCCCUCGGAAUAUUCCGACGGACCCCUUUCCUCGGAAUUUAAAAAAAAUUAAUUUUUUUUUUCAAAAAUAAAAUUUUUGAAAUUUAAAUUCGAAAAUAUAAAAUUUAAAUUUAAAUUUAAAUCAUUAAAAUUAAAAUUAAAAUUAAAAUUUAAAUUUAGAUUCGAAAAUAUUCAAAGUUUCACAAAUAAAAAUAAAACAUUCCGAGUUUUUGGAAAAAAAAAAAACUACGGGUCUGACACGUCUGGGAACACCUCGUUCGGCUACAUCCUCUGCAUCAUCUCCAUCAUUUGCUGGUUCAGCCUCCUCUGUGCCUCAUAGCCCGCUUGUUGAGCCGCCAUCUGGGUCUCCAACAAAGAUAUGCGAUCAUCCUUGUCCUUCAACUGAGCCGUAAGUACUUCUGGAUCAACAAAAGGCGGUGGUGCAGAAGAAGGAGGAACCGACCGGGUGCGACGACCCAAACCGACCAAACGUCCCUUCUUUUUUGAAACCGACUGAAAUAAAAAAUAGCCAAAUUUACAAAUUUAAAUCAAGAAAUAAAUGAAUUGAACUUUUAAAAAAAAGAACUUACGGAUUCAACGAUUUCGUUGAUUCGAAACCGGGACAAGUUGGUCGAAGCCGUCGAAGCGUCAUCCUCGGUUUGAAGCUGAGACACUUCGUCUUGCACCAGAGUUUGGACCAGGCUGACCACUUCCCUCACAAUCAGUAGAAAAUUUAUAUUAAAGAUUAAAAAUAUAAGUAAAAAAUUAGAAUACUUACCGCAAACUGACGAAACCACAGAUGCUGCUUGUCGGUAGGGAAGUGAGUGAAAGUCGGAUGUCCCUUGUCGAGGGCCGAGUACAUCAUACGGUUGAUCCAUGCGCUGAUCCCGUUCUCGGAUCGGUUGAACCUAAUAAAAAGAACAAAUGCUUAAUAAUGAAUCAAAUUUUAAGGAAAAAAAUAUGUUUAAUUACCAUGUUUGACCCCGUCCAUGUGGAUACGGAGUGAGAUAGGGAAGAUGGUCACGACCAGGCUGUCGAACCAACUCCGCAAAACUCAUCACGCCCGGAGGACCCGGAGGAGCAGGAGCGGCUGCAGCAGCGGGAGCGAGAGGAGCAGGAGCGGGUGCAGCAGAGGGAGAUGUAUGGUAGGAGCUGUGGGGCGAAGGGGAAUUAAUUAUUUUUUAUUAUAUUUUAAAAUUCUGUAAAAUAAUAAAAACGAAGUAAAUUCGUAGCUAAAGUACGACCUCUUUACGUGGAAAUCUUACGAGGAAAUGACGAGAAACAGUUUACGAGUAUUUUACAAGGAAUUCUUUACGAGGAAAUAACGAGGAAAUGUUUACGACUAUUUUACGAGGAAAUAAUUUCGUGGUUAUUACGUGUAUUUUGCGAGGAAAAUAUUUCAAGGUAUUUACGUGUAGAUUACGAGAAACUGUUUUCGAGUUAUUUACGAGGAAUUGUAGCGACGUCCUUACGAGGAAUUGUAGCGACGUCUUUACGACGAAUCGUUCUACUUCGUCUUUACGACGAAAUAUAUUCCUCGCUAAGUUACGACGAAUUAGCGAGGAAAUAUGUGUUACGACGGACGUGUAACGAGCAAACACGUUUCCUCGCUAAUUCGUCGUAAAGCCUCUUUUACGACGAAUUAGCGAGGAAAACCGCCCUCGUUAAGAUUAUGUUUUCUUGUAGUGGUUGCAUCGUAUGAUCUAUGGAUAUGACAUGCAUUUUUUGGACCUCCAGGUACUUUAAAUGAUAUCAAUGUUUUUGAUCGCUCACCUGUUUUUAUGAAAUAAUAAAAGGUCAAGCUCCGCAAGUCAUCUUCUCUGUCAAUGGAAGAGAGUAUCAUAUGGCUUACUAUCUCACCGACGGUAUUUAUCCGAAAUGGGCAACUUUUAUCCAAUCAAUUUCAAUAUCACAAGGACCAAAAGCGGUUUUAUUUGCUCAGCAACAAGAAGCUGUCCGAAAAGAUGUCGAACGUGCUUUUGGAGUCUUGCAAGCUCGUUUUGCCAUUGUUAAAAAUCCAGCAUUUUUUGGGAUAAAGACAAAAUUGGGAAGAUAAUUAGAGCAUGUAUCAUACUCCAUAACAUGAUAGUAGAAGGCGAACGAGAUGUAUACACUCAAUAUGUAUUAUGUUUCAGAGUUCCAACAAGGAGAAGACACCGGAAGCUCACAUGUCGAUCUCACAUUCUCUACUGAUAUCCCUACAAAUAUUGGCAAUAUGAUGGGUGUUUGAACUAGAAUUCGUGAUAAACACAUGCAUGAACAACUCAAAACUGAUUUGGUUGAAUGGUCAGGACAACAACUAAGCUUCUAAGCUCGCAUGUUUCUUUCAAAUUAUUCUCGUUUAUUUUACUAAUCUUAGUUUUAAUUUUUUUUUUAAUAAUUAAUGUUUAAAAUGUUUUAUUUUAAUAUGUUAUAUUUAAUAAAUAAAUUUUAUCUUUAAAAAUAUUUUAGUUUAAUAUUUUUUUCUUAAAAACCCCAAAAUAAAUAAGAACCCCCAUUGGACCUAACAAAUUAAGUGUUUCUUAAGUUCAACCUCUUAACUAUUAUUAAUUACUAAAAAAAUCAUUAAGAAAAGAGGUUAAUGGUGCUCUAACUGUCUAACAUGUUCUUCCCUGUCGUAUGAAAAUAAGCAAGAUACUCCUGUCAAUCUAUCAUGCAUUUAUUGGGAAAAGCGAUCCUAUAUAUAGUUAUAUAUACACUCCUGAUUCUUCUAUAUUUAUUAUUUAAAAUAUUACUAAUCGAAAGACAGUUGAUCAUAUAAAAAAAUCUAGAAAGAUGUAAAAUACUCGCCGACAAAAUGAAAUAUAACAUUUCAAGUGACGAACGUGUAUGCACCCAGAUUAAAAUCUUAUAAAGCUUGUACAUAAACCAAAUAUAAUCUUAUUUUUCUUCUAAUAAACGUGAAAAUAAAACGUAAUAAUGACAUGAAAACGUGUUCACCCUCCAUAACCGAACCAAGAUCGGUUAAUACCGCAUGAAACAGACUAUACAGACCGGUUCAGGUCAAGACUCAAGCACCAGGGGCCGCAUCUUUAGCCCUACCAUGGAAAUAUCCACCAUACUCUCUAGCGUAAUCUUUGACGUGAGAGGCCGUGUCAUAGAUCCGACUACGUGCAUAGUCCAUCUGAUUCGAUCCAACCGGAUGCAUGCCCCGGUAAUAACGGUACGUCCACGACGCCAAGGCCAACGUUCCAACAAGAAAUCCAGCUACCGAUAAGAACACACCAACAACGAUAAAAACAGGAAGCCAGAUAGGGCUCGAGAUGAUGAUCAACGGAAUAAACACUAUGAAGCCUAUGGCUGUUGCGGUGACGGCGAUGCCGAGAAGGAAAAGGAGGGUUCCAACGGAGACGAAGAGACCGAGGUAACUAAAGAGCUCUGAGGAGGUUGGUGAAUGAGAUCGGAGAAGGCUGAGAAGCAAAGCGUAUGGGCUGUUGCUAUCGGUGGUGCCACCCCCACCGUAAAUGGGGAGAUAUUGAGCAUCGCCGCUUGAAAACGUUUCCGCCAUUUGUAGAGAGUGAUUAUUGCUUUUGUGUGGGUGACAAGAGAACAAAAAGAGGAAAGGGUAAAAACAUACGGAGGACAAAUUCAGCUUUGAGGUGGCACUCAUGCAAGGUUUGCAAACACGUACGUGGAGAUUGUGUCUUUGUUUUUAGUUGUCGUAGAUCAAGAUUUUGGUUUAGAUUUGGCUUAGUAUUGGUUUGUUUGGCUCGGUUUAUCUGCCACAACAAAAACAACAAUGUAAAAGACAUAUAGGAUAAAGAGACAUAUUUUCAUUUAAUUUUUAUUAUAUGUAAACAUAAUUAUAUUUUUGUAGUAGUAUUAUUUGUAAAAGUAAUUUAGCAUUGUUUAUGAAUUUUUUUUAUUGAUAAAUAUAUUUAGUAAGUGUAUUGUUACAUAAUAAUUUUGUUUUAAACGUGAAAUUUUGUAUUAAUAUAUGAUUGACUAAAAGCAAAUAUAUGAUAAUAUUGAUUAAAUUUUUUAUACAAAUACGUUUUUGAAGUUAUCUUUACUAAUCAUUGAUGGAGUUGAAUUAUUUUAUGAUAUUUAAAUGUAAUUUUCUUAUACUAUAAACAGAGGCGAAUCUAGACAACAUAUGGGUGUACUAUUGAUGACAAAAAUAAAAAUGCUUAGGACACGAAUUGAACUUGGGAAAAUGAGAGUGCACAAGCUGUCUUUUACCAUCUAAGCUAACAAAAUCUGACAAAAUUUAGUCAUAAAAAGUUGCAUAUCAAUAUAAUUAUGGGUGCACAUGCCCCCACACUUUAUAACUUGGCUUCGCCCCCGUCACUUGCCAGGUAAGAAAGUCGAUGAAGGAGACGGCGCCACGUCCUGACACAUAAAGUUUUGUGUUUCAUGAAUCUUCGCGUGACGGCUUCUAUCGUUUGGUGGGUGAUUGAGCUUUGAUAUUGGUAAGUUUCCGGCCCGAUUAAAGAGAUGUGACUCUCUGGAAUCGAAAAGGUCUUCUUCUCUCCUCUUCACGCGACGGCGAUUGAUGCCUUUUGCGAUUCUUAUCACCAUUUUGAACGGCCUGCAUAAAGGCUUCGUGAUUAAUCACAUUGAUUCGCUCGCCCACUACGUCGUCAUCAAUGAUUCGUUUUGAUCUGAUAAGCAGUGAUUUCUGUAUAAAUAUGUGUGAGUAGUCGGUUACUUGAGUUUCAGAGAUCGGUUGUGAUGAGGUGGCUGAUGCAGUUUGUUGGGUUUAGGGAAAGGCUUUUGGCUGAUGAUCUCUUCUUGGCUAAACUUGCCAUGGAAUGUGGUGUUGGUUUCUUCACUAAGGUGUCUGCCUUUUCUUUCUUAUCCACUUCAUUAGAAAUUUUGGAACAUUUUGGCGAUUUCUUAGCGUUUCUAGAGAAGUUCAUCGAGAAAGUGUUUGAAUGGUUCAGGCCAAUGUAAUCAAUUAGAAUUGUUGUCUUAUUUUAGCUAAUAUGUAUUGUUUUUUUUUGUCUCUAUAGACUGCUGCUGAGUAUGAACGGCGUAGAGGAAACUUCUUCAAUGAACUUGAAGUUGUCUUUGCCCAUGUGGUAGUCAUUCUUCUCUGCUUCUUUUUUUACUGGUGUUGCUUCUGCUGGUCCAUGUCUGAUCGCAGGAAUGAUCUAAAUCUUACUAUUAGGAAUUGUGUUAUUGUUAGAAGGUAGGGAAGGUUGAGAAAAUUUGAUCUUUUAUAUGACUCAUUCAGAUAGACGAAAGGUUGGGUAGUUUGUGGUUGUGACUUGUGUCUGAUGGGGUCUUCAAUUUUUCACCAUUAGUUUUUUGCAUGAAUAGUCUAUGGGCAAGUAGUUGGUUGUUUCUUUAAAUUAUGGAACUUUUGCUUCAAACGUUAUAUUCUAUAGAUCGAAAAGUCACAGAUUCUUUUGUUAUUUUCUCUUAUUGUAAUAGAUAAUUGUAUUUAUAAUGUCUGUAUUUUUUUUAAAGGAUGCAGUCCACGCUGAUGAUGUAAAAAGUAUGGAGAACAGAACAUGACCAGGAUGUCCUGAGGACAUGAUCAACGGGUAUUUGUGUCAUUCACACUAUUCUGAGCUCCAGGACAUGAUCAACGAGGUUGAUGCUGAUGGAAACGGAACCAUCGACUUUUCCGACUUCCUGAACCUUAUGGCUAAGAAGAUGAAGGACACUGACUCAAAGGAAGAGCUAAAAGAAGCAUUUAGGGUUUUCGACAAAGACCAGAACGGUUUCAUCUCCGCUGCUGAGCUAUGCCAUGUGAUGACCAAUCUCGGUGAGAAGCUGACUGAUGAGGAAGUCGAAGAGAUAGUCCGUGAGGCUGAUGUUGAUGGAGAUGGUCAGAAAAACUAUGAAGAGUUUGUCAAAAUUAUGAUGGCUAAGUGAUGGAUGAUGAUGAUGACCUUUUUCUAAUGCCUCUUAAGACAUUCGCAUGAUUUGUUUAGAUAUUGGCUAUAAUAAAUAGACAGGGAUUUGAGGCAGAACAAUGUUUGCUCUUUGGUUUAUGAUUUUAUGGUAUGGAAAACAAUUGUAUUGGUUUGAGAAGCUAAAUUGCAUGUUCAGUAGAGGGAAGGUAGCGUAAGAGCAUGAUUAACCCACAAACCCAUUAGAGUCUUUUAAUGAAUAUUUUAAUAAUUAAAUGUAACUAAGAAUUCUAGUUAAGAGACACAAUGAUUUUUCACUCCAAUGCUAGUUUCUUAUUUAGGGGUUCUUAGAAACAAAAAAACAGACAAGCAAAUUAGAAACAAGGAAGUUGCAGAAACAAUCCCAAAUGAAGUUACUGCAGCUGAGAACUGUAGGAAAGAGUAUCCUAACAUUUUACCAUAGGUGAAUGAUUAAUCGUCUCUACAUCCUAGCUCCAUAAAACUAAUUGAAUCUACUGGGAUUACUUCUUAUUAUAACUAUGCUAUGAUGGAACUACUAAUCUAGAUGAUGAUUCUAAACUCUAAUGAGAAAGAUCAGUGCUCUCUGUAAACAAGAUAAGUACGAGAGCAAACAUAAUAACUCAAGAUACCUUUUAUCGAUACAAUCUACACAAAAGAACUCUCUUCCACAACUCAAACAGCUAACCAAAUCCUCACAUCCUCUGGUUCCACACCAAUGGCACCUCUUCUUGGCCUUAACCAAUUUUCCAUUGAAAGGAACCACCUUUACAGAAAAUCACACAAAAGCAAAAUUAAGAAACUAAAUGUGUAUACAGAAAAGUGUAAAGCUUUAAGUUUUUUUCUCAAUUACCUGCAUUUUCCAAAAAGGUAUAGGUUCAAUAUUCUUAGACCUGAAUCUUCUCUUAGUCAAAGAAACAGGUUCUUCACCUACUUUAACAUCACAAGGAGAAGGAGAUGACACAUUGCUUGUAGUCGGAGAAGGUGGAGAAAUAGCCAAAUUAAAUCCCUACCCUUUAAAGCCAUUGGCCAUCCCUGAGCUUGUAUUGGUGUUGGCUCAGUAAAUCCCAGCUUAGCAAUUGUGUUGAAAAUGUUAUCUAUCAAACAGAUAAUCAAAGAGAUGAGUCUACAAAAUUAAACCACUAAACCAAGAACAAAAUAAUCAUAACUAGAGAAUGUUAGGUGAACAAAGCAGCAUACUUGCACUCACUAGAGGGAAAUAGCAUCGAGAAUCUUAUCUAUCAAACAGAUAAUAAAAGAGAUAAGUCUACAAAACACAACCACUAAACCCACAAGACAUGAACUGAGAAAAAGUGUUAAACAAAGAAGUCUAUAUGUAUGAUAAAACAAAGCUACCAGCUCGGAUAAUCCAUGAAAAGAUACAGCCUUUACACAAAACCCUAGCUUAAUACUGAUAAAACAUGCAAUUUAUGAAACUAUGAGAUCCGAAACAAGAGAAAAUUUUCCCAGAUUGGAAAAUCAACGAUCCAAUCAAAAUUCUCCAGAAAAUAAAAAAAAUCAAUUGAAGUCAGGAUUUGAGGAUAUAUAAACAAAAAGAUCUCACAAAGAAUAUACAAAAUCGGUACUGACCAGUUUGGCGUUGAUAUUCUUGUUUCCAGUGGUGGCCAUGUUUGUUAAUCUGAAGCUCGAGAAAUCGAAAAAGGGAGAAGAUAGAACUCACAAAAGACGUCGCUUAUGUUCCUUAAUUAAGAGCCGUAGCUUAUGUUUAUUGCCAUUUUUCAUUUUUUUUAUUCUUAUUAAACUAAGAAACGCUCUUAAGAGCUCCGGAUAAUCAUGGUCUAAGCAAGUGUUUUUCUACCGUCUGUUCCAUUAUUCUAUUCAUGUACGAUUACUUCCAAGCCAUUUAUGAAAACACGUCCAAUCAAGAUAUUAGUUUUCAUACGACAAGGUGGCCAUGAAAUUUUGUAGUUUUAUUUUUGGGUAUAAACCGUAUAAAGUGCUUUUGACAAUUGACAAAAGAAAAAAAAAUAAGAUUCGUAUAAAGUGGAGUUUUAUACUCUAUAUUGGCACUGUGGCAUCUGAGGAUGAGAUAGAAAAUGAAAAAAAAUUAACUUCAUCUUAUGACAAGUUUCCAUUAAGAUUAAGGGUUGGCCCACACUUCUUGAAAUUUUUUAUGUAUUUAAUUUAACAUCCGUUUUUGUUUAAAAUGAUUUAGUUAUGUAUUUAGUGUGAACCUUUAUUUUCGUUUUAUUUUAUUUUAUUUUCUUUUCUUUUGGUUAAAAUUAUUUGAUGUUAAAAUAUUCGACUUCAUUCUCAUUGUGAUAAAUAAAUUUCAUUAUCCGAUGGUUUAGAUUAUUUCAGUGGAGAUUUGUCACAUUUAUCUUUCAUUAUAUAUGUUUAGUAAUUUUCGUUUAUUUUCUUGGUGUCGAAUGCUUCUUAUGUAUAAUCAUUUAAGCCCAUUAAAAUUUUAAUUUAAUAAAUAUUUUAGUGUUAAAAUUUUAUUUUUAAAUGCUAAUUUAUUUUAAAUGUCAUAAUAGAUAAUUUAAUCAAUAUACAUUUUAGAAAAUAAUAUUUUAAAACACUUUAAAGUAAUAAAAAUGAAAACAAUAUAAAAUCAAACACUAAGAGAUUAAAACAAUAACAACACUAAGAAUUCUGUUUUAAUAGUUAUACAACUAGAUUUUGACCCGCGUUUUCAAAGCGCGGGAUCGUUUCUUUUUAAAAUUUUGUUUAAAUUAAUAAAUAUUUGUCUAACCUAUAUUUUAAUAGAUUUUGUAUUUGUUUAUCGGUAAUAUUUUUAAUAUUGUCUUCUUUAUUUUUUUAAUUAAUAUUAAAAUUAAAAUGUUUGUUUGUGAACUAAUUAAUUAGUUAAAAGAUUUUAAAACGGUAAACUUCUACUCAAUAAAUUUAAUCAUAUUGUGAUGAUAUAUUUGGUAAAUUUAUUUAUUUAUAAUUUUAACUUAUUAAGGAAAUAUUAUAUGAAAAAUAUAAUAGACUUUACAUUUUUCAUUCAACAUAUUUUUAAUUUAUGCAUAAUUUAUAAAUUAUAAUAACCGAAAUAUUUAAUAAUAAUUAUGUAUUUAAAUUGACUUAUAGUUGGUUUUAAAAAAAAUAGUGUUGGGCUUUGUUUUAGUUAGGAUUUGUCUUUUUCUCUGAUAAAAUGGGCCAGAAUUGCCCAAAGAGAGCAAAAAAAUCUGUCGCUUCAAAAUCUAUGUUUUUGUGGCCGUUUGCUUUAAAAAAAACAGAAAGGGAAAGUAAAAGAAAAAUUCUCGAUCCAAUUUUUCUUUGACGAAUCGACGAGACGAUAUUAUAGAGACAAAGAAUCGAUGGGAGAAUCAGUGGUUAGAUCUAUCGAUCUUGAUGGAUAGGGCGUUGGUGAAGAUCGAAACUGUUGCUUGGUGAAUGUUUCUCAUGAAUCGGGUAUUGAUCAUAAGCCAAACUAAAAUUUCGAUCUGAUUUCCUUUCCUCUUGGCAUAAUAAUUGUUUUAUUCUGCAGAAUCACGGAUGAAUAAGAUUGAUCAGUGAUUUGCUUGGUCACUUAAGAUCUCCGAGCAAAAACAACUUCCAACUUUUUAGAUGGAUAAUAACAGGGGUAAUCCUUUUAAUUGAUUAUGCAUCGUAACAUCUUUCACCUUCGUUACUUCCUUUCGCUGAUGUCCCAAAGAAUUCAUUUGCUGUCUCUUAUACUAAUGACUGAAUAAUAUAUGUUUAUGCUUGUACAAUCUAUGUUCCUCAAUUUAGAGUCUCUUAUGAUUUAUUCUAAUUUUUUAUUUCAGGCACUAACAAAUUAGUGUAUGAAUAAUUUGAUUAAUCUGUUAUAAAGCAGAAGCUGAAUGAUAUAUGUUUAGUUUGUUGUCUUAUUAAUGUUUACGACUCAUGUGCAGGGUCUUGUAGUGACAGAGAGUACUGGUAGAACUUUAUUAAUGCGACUCCAACCUCAAUCAAGAAAACCACAAUCUUGAGAAAAGAUAAGUUUUUAUUAGAUGUAACCUCACCGCAUACAAUUACUGUGAAAUAUUUAAUAUUUUGUAAAUCUAAACGGUUAACUAAUGUUUUCUCUUAAUUUUACAGAACAAAGUCUAUAUAAUGUAUGAUGAUGAAAGACAUGAGGCAAAGUCAAACAAAACUUGGGCACCAGUAUGUAAUGACAUGUAUCCAACCAUUCUGCAAUGAUAUAAUCUGUAAAUUACUAUUAAACAUUUUUCAGAAUUUUAGAAGCUAGGAAUGGAACUGACUAUCACUAGUUAGGAUUGAAACCGGAGUUUGAUUGAUUGAUUUGGUGUUAUUAUCUGUAGAUAGGAGAAUUAUAUUGCUUUCUGCAACGUAGAACUUUUCCUAAAGUUUAUUUUUCGUGUUAGAAAUAAUAUAUCAAAUAAUUUUAACAACAAACAUCAUAUGUUUGUUUCUGAGGCUCCACAUCCUCACCAAAAACUCAUCCCAGCUUCCAUUCAACAGCUUCUCGGGAGAUUCAGCAACAAUCCCAUUAGCAACUUUAUCUAAGAUCAUUAUUUUUGAGACGCCUGUAUCAUCACUGACCAUCAAGUGGAGCCAGAACCUACAAAGGAUUAUCACUAUCAAUAUAUAUAUACGAAUAAUAGAUUAAAUAUAUAUAUAUAUAUAUAUAUAUAUAUAUAUAUAUUUUUAACACAUAUAAUAGAGAUCGUAAAACAAAUAUUGUGUCAAUAAAAUAAAUAUCAACUCAAACCUUGGUGAAACUUCGAAGACACUGUCUCUGAAUGUCUCACACCACCAAAUAUGGGUGGUGAUCUCUUUACCAUUCAAUUUCUUAACUUUGGUUCCAGUUUUGAUCACUCUUUUGUUGCAUGCUUUACAACCAAAGUAAUACCACGACCAAUCCAUAUCAAUGGCAUAGACUGUGCAUCUCACCAAGCAUCUAUCAACCUACAAUUAUAAUGCAUUUAACAAACUAUAAAACAAAGAGAAAAGGUUCUAUGUAGGAUAAGAUAGGACAGACGGUAAUCACUUAAUAACAGCUUACUUGAGUUGAUGUUAUCAUUUCUUGGAUGUUCUUAGUGGGAAAGAGUAACCACUUAUCACGCUGUCCUCGCUUCUCUGACUGAUCACCUUGUUUGUUGUUGUCCUCUUGACUGUCCUCAUUACUUUGGAAUGAGGUUAAAGUUUUGUCAUCAUCAUUGAUCCUGGUUGAAAUACACAGAUUAAAAUUAGUAGUCUGUGUGUGAUAACGAAGUUACAGAAUAUGGAGUCACAAUUCUUUAAAUGCUUCAGCUUCAGCUAUUGACGGGUUGAUAAUCAUUUGAGAAGCAUCAAAUGCAUUAGAGAUUUGCAGUUCUCCUAGUAGAUAAUUAAAAAAUACACUACAUGUAAACGAUGCUUUGAUAAAGGAUUAGUUUGUGCAAAACAUGGUAGUGGCGUACUUAUUUACCUCUAAAUCUCCCAAGCUUAGCAAACCUGAGCAGUGUAGUAACCAUUCUGGCUUCUUGGUUAAUUGCAGAAUGGAGUUCCUCGGCUAAGUUUCCCCAUAUACAGUAUGGUAAACGCGAAUCAUUACGAAUAGUUGUGAAGAGAUGGUUAGUUAUAUUAUCUUACUCGGUGUAUCAUAUUCAUAAGAAGUAAAAUGACAGCUAUCUUACUUGAUGUCGCUUAGAGUAAAUUCAAGCUUUUUUCGUUGCUUUCCCCCGGUACACUGAAUGUUUUCGACAUCAGCACAAUCCAUAACUUGACCCAGCACAUCUUUCGCAAAAAAAAUGUACACGUUAGUAUAGAUUUUUACACAAUAGAUAGUGGCUAAACCUAUUAUAUUUAUAUGUUUACCAAUUAAAAAAUUCUCAUCAAGUGUUCCAGACAAAACAGAUUGAAAGUCGGUCAAAUUCAGGUACAGCUCGUCAUUAACGUGAUUAGAUCGGGUAAUGACCGUAUUUUGAUUGAAAACCAUCUUCCAGGUAUUAUCUGUGGUUCGAUAAGCUCCACCAGCAGGAGUAAUUUGGAAAUUCCGGAGGUAGUGCCAUGCUCCAACCGUAAGAAUCCUUCCCUUUACUUUCAAUGUAAGUCCUUUUGCAUGUUGCAUGAAUUUUUUGCCCCUAAACAUGUUACAUAUAAAUUUAAAAAUCAGUAGCUAAUCCCAUCCUUUGUAAAUAAGACAUAAUCGAGUAAUAAAUACAGGGAAAAACGCUUACAGUGUCAUCAGCCAAGACGAAUUCCAUGGUCUCCACGGAUUGAAUGUAUUGUUUCCAAGCGUGUAGAACCUUUACAUGAACCAACCAACUGUUUUUCCACGGUUUCAAGUCGCCGAAGACGACCGAUUGAUCAUUAAGACCUUUCGAUGUUUGUAUUUGCAUCUUAGUAGCCAUUGUUAUGUUUUUUGUUUUCUUCGAAGGUGUGGGUUUUAAUAGGAAACCGGUGUUGCCUAUUUAUAAUAUUGAUCGGAUUCAAAGCGAUGUGUUAGGUUUUGGAGAAACUUGGGGAGAAAGUUGGGGGAUUUUUUCUUUAAUGUCUAUAUUUUAAGAUUAGUUUGGAAAAUUCAGUUACCAUGUUAAACAGUUAAAAUAUUUUUCUGCGUGUUCCUCAAGUUGGGGGAUUUCCUUUUUUAUUUGAUUUGAUUCUGUAAAUCUCUGAGUACGAAAUAGGAUUUUUCGCUACUGCAUGGGCCUAACAAAACGUAAAUGUACGUAGAAAAUAGUGGGUUUUUUUUGUCAAUCGAAUAACACUGAAAAUAAUUUAAAUAGGGAAUGAAAUGUUUUGUAAUUAAUAAGAAAUUUCAGGGGUAGAUUCAUGAGAAGUAUUCUGAUUUAAUAAUAUAUAUUUAAAUUUUAUGUAAAUAACACAAACAUAUUAUUACAUAUUUAAAAAAAAAAACUAUACGCCGGCCUUGGCCUAGUAUAUUUAUAAUAUUAAAGUAUAAUAAAAGACAUGUUAAAUAUUUGCAAGGAUUUAAAAAUGUUAGUAAUGGAUCCGGAUCUAUUCGAAUGGUUAUUGCCCGACUCCAAACUUUUAGAAUAAAUGUUUUGGACCCAUAUAUCCAUAGAAUUUCAAAUAUGUUUCGGGUUGGAUGAAAUGCCUAAGACUAGAGCAAACCAUGCGUACGAAUCCCACAAAAUCUGAUAUCCCGCCCCCCAACAACUUCACGUCGUGUUGUUUUCACAAAUUAUCUUAUUGAUUCAAACAAAAGUAAAAUACCAAGUCAAACAUAUACCCGUUAAGUAUCCCUCAAGAUGUGGACAAGACUAACAAGACCUCGAAGUCUCUCACUCUUUUUAAACUCAAAACCUCACAGCAUUCACAAGCAAUAACAACAGAGCUCCCUUGCUAUCAAUCCAAAAAAAACAAAUGAGUUCCUCAAAGAAGAUCACUCUCGUUGUCAUUCUUGUUUCGAUUUAUAUGUUUUCAUGUGUUUCAAGCACUGAGUUUGAAGUCGGAGGAGAAGAUGGUUGGAUGGUACCACAAUCUAAGACUCACGGAGAUAUGUUUAACCAUUGGGCUUCACACAACCGGUUUAAAGUUGGCGACACUGUCCGUAAGUGUUUUCUUUCUCUAUAUGCAGUUUUCAUCUUUACAUGUAUAUAUGAACUUUUUUUGUUGGGAUUCUUGAUUUUUUAUGAAGGUUUCAACUACACAAAAGACUCAGUGUUAGUGGUGUCAGAAGAAGAGUAUAAAAAAUGCAAGGCGACUAAACCUCAACUCUAUUCGAACAACGAAGACACGGUUUUUAAACUAGACCGUCCUGGUUUGUUUUACUUCAUUAGUGGUAUCUCCGGCCACUGUGAAAAGGGUCAGAAGAUGAUCAUUAAAGUCAUGGAGAUUGAGUCUUCACCAGACUCGCCUCCUCCUUCCUCUUCUUCAUCUCCAUCUCUCCCGACUUCAACUCAGAAGAAGAGCAGUGCGUUUAAAACCUCAGUCCAGUGCAGCAGUUCUGGCUUUCUUGCCAUUGCAGUUCUUGUUGUUUCGAUUUUUGGUUUGGCUUAGUCACGGUUGAGCAUUUUGUUCUCCUUAAAGGUUUCAAUCAUCAUUAGGCUGCAUCGUUCUUACUUCUUGAGUUGUGACUUUCCAAAUAAAUACAUUGACCGGUCUCGAUCGGUUUCAAUCAACAUGUUUCAUUUCUUGUAGCCUUUAUUAUUUUGUUCUUUUACAUUUUCUUAUAUUUCAACUUCUUAUUUUUUGGGCAAAUCCCCUAUCAUUUUUAAGUUUUUAUCACAAAAUAACAUUUUAAAAAAUUCUCAAAAUAGUAUAUAUUAAUCAAUAAAAAUGUUAAUUACUCUACAUCUUAAACUCUAAAUCCUAAUAUACCCUAAAUUUUGAUUACUCAACUCAAAUCUAUAAAUAUAUAUUUAUUUUUUAUCCUUUAAUGAAUAUUAUUUUAGAAAUUUUCGUCAGUGUACUAAUUUUUGAACAAAAACUUGGUGAUUUUAAGAGUAUUUCUUAGUUUUUUCUUAUAUAAAGAGAAAGCUGCCAUAGAUUAAUCAAAUAAUUCUUAUAACAACCCAAAGAUUUGAAGUAUUACAAGAAACGCAGUACCGUUACUCUUUAGACAAAACUUGGUGGUAACUAAUAAAACAAAAAAGCAAGUCGAGAACACUUCAUGCCUCUUUAGGUGUGGACUUGCCUUUGCCAUAGGGACUGUAAGGAGAGAAGCCAUUGCGACCUUGCUGAUUCCUCGCCUUCCUCACCUUCCCAGCUCCACUCUCUAUGUUCAGAUGCACUUUUGGCGGCGAAGAGAAGCAGAACGAUAGAGCAACCGCCUGUGAACAUCCCAUUACAAAAAAAAAAAUAUGAAAACCCUUGAUCAUCUUCUAACCUUGCAAUAACCAUAUAGUUUAUUUGUCUGUGAACAUUACCUGAAGAUCGAGCCGGUGGACAUUAAAGAUAUCUUUCAGAGAAUGCGAGUUGUACGCUGCGAUGUAAGCCCUGUACGCUUCCUUGGCUAUCUUGUUCAGAUUAUAGUCGUUGGCAACAUACUUCUCCUGCAUAACAAGAGCAAGAAACGAUGUUAUUACAACGUAUCAUAUUACAAAUGAGAAGUUAUUCAUUCAGACUGAAUCAGAACUAUUACCAGAGCAGAUCGAACAUUCAAAAGCUUCUUCUCAUUGAACUCAAGCUCUUUCACAGGUACUUUUGCAGCCUGCAAGUUAAAGUACACAUCAAUAAAACAAGUAGGUUUACCACAAGAAGAUUCUAAAAAAUCAUUCAUACCUUGAGGUACCGUAUAAACUGAAGCUCUUCAGGGAUCAAGACAAGCAAUGCCUUUCCCUUUGCUCCUUCUCCACGGGCUGUUCGGCCAACCCUAUGUAUAUAUUCCUGCAUCACCCCAUCUAAGAUUCAGACAAACAGACAUAAGGGGAGAUAGAAAAACCAGACCAAAGUAUUCCUCAUACCGUUGGCUUGUCUGGAGGAUCAUACUGUAUAAUCCAGUCCUACAUAUAACAAGGUUCAACACAAUGUGAUUACUAUUUGAGUGUGUAUAAGAGCGUUAAUAAUCAUUGCUAGAAGAAUACGUACCACGGAAGGAAUAUCGAGACCACGAGCAGCAACAUCAGUACACAGCAAGAUACCUUUCUCUGCUUUCAUAAAGUCGAAAAAGGUUUUAGUUCUCCGGUUCUGAUCCAGCCCCCCAUGGAUGUCACAGCUCUCGACGUUGAUUAGUUUCAUGAUCUCGGCGUGGAACUGAACCGACUUGCACGUCGAGAAGAAGACCAUUAUUUUCUUGUUUAGGUUCUUUUUCAAGAAAGAGAUUAGAAGCAGAAGUCUUUUCUCGCUCGGAACAACGCAGUAGCCUUGCUCCAAUCCUUCGUUUGUCACCUAACAGUUUUGGAAACUUAAUCAAGUAAAAUCUCCAUGGCAUGCUUUCUUAAGAUUUUCAUUACAAGUGUGUUUCUUUUGAUUCAUACCUUGCGUCUACCAUCAUCGACAUCAACAAGAACAGGAGACGUUAAUGACACCCGUGCGAGAUCUUGAACCUGCAAUGAUUCACCAAUGAGUAAGCAUAAUUAAAUAACAACAAGUAACUAAUAGUGACAAUAUAGCAGCUAAAAGAAUAGUACCUUGGAGGUCUGUGUGGCAGAGAAUAGAGCGGUUUGCCUAGUCUGCAGAAACAUGGUAAGAGCUAUAAUCAGAACAAAAUCUAAACCAUAGUAAAGCCAAACGCUCUGGCACAUGAUUUGCAAUACUAUUUCUCCAGUUGGUUUUAACUGAAGAGAAUAGCAAUACCAUAGCAUGGUUGCUUUAAAAGGAAUCUUUCAUACUGGAAGGUUUGAAGGCACAAAGAGAUAAUUUACCUUUGGUAAAAUCUUUAGAAUCUUGUUCAUAUCUUCCUCAAAAUUUUCUUCCAGUAUCCUAUCAGCUUCAUCGAUCACAAGGCACUGCAAUUUGAUGGAACAAAUAUAAAGAUGAAAUAUCCAGUAUAGUCAUAUAACUAUAAGUACAGUUAAAACCCAAGCUAGAAAAAAUAUAAUUAUAAACCAAAGAAUCUGUAGUUUUCCCUCUUUUAUCCUUUCACAAAGGCCGCGGAAUGAACACAGCAAUAAGCUUCUGUCUAUAGUUCACCUAUGGCUCUUCAACUAUAACUGUUUGUCCAUGUGGAUCAACAGUAAUAGUAUUCUAACUUCUACUUAUCAAAAAGAAGACUUGCAAAUUAGAAGAAUGAAAAGGAGACUAGGAGAGUACCUUAAGGUGUUUAUAAAUGAAACCCUUUGUAUGUUGAAGAUGGUCAAGAAGACGCCCAGGAGUUGCAAUCAGCAAAUUAGAACCAUUUGCAAUACGUUGAGCUUCUGUCCUUCUGUUAUUGCCACCAAUAACCAUGCUGACCGUCAGCGAAUGAUGCUUGAGUAGCUCCUCCGCCACAUUUUUUGUCUGCAAUAUUAAAAAAAAAAACAGUAGAGUGAAAAACGUGGGAUGAGAAGCCGCAGUAACAUACAACUUAACGAGUCCUACAUGGGGCAUUGCAAGAGUUACAGGACUCAUCUACUCACAGUGACAGUAUGGUAGAUAAAGAAGGUUAUUUACCUGGAUAGCAAGUUCUCUAGUGGGGCAAAUAACGAUGACACCAGUCCCGUUGCGAGGAGAGAAACGCUCUUUAAACAGCAACUCUACAGCCGGUAUGAGGAAAGCAAGGGUUUUACCGGAACCAGUCCUGGCAGCACCAAGAACAUCUUUUCCUUCCAAAAGAGGAGGAAUUGAUCCAGCUUGAAUCUAAAUAAGAGCAAAUGAUUAAAACAUUAUUUUUGCAAAUCUUGUCUAAACAUCAGAAACAAGGUUCAAGAGUUUUACGUACUUGCGUCAUGUGCUCAAAGCCCAUCGUCUUGAUAGCUUCAAAAGUCUGCUCAGACAACUCUAGGGAUUCAAAAGUCUCAUUAGUCAUUAUCCCUUUCCCAACAACCACCAUCUUCUUCUCUUCAUCUAGUUCUUCUUCUUCCUUUGCUUCCACCUCUUCCUCGGUUUUGUCUCCUCCCUGAGACUUCACUUUCUUAACCUUCUUUUCUUUCUUGUGGUUGCUUUAAAAGGAAUCUUUCAUACUGGAAGGUUUGAAGGCACAAAGAGAUAAUUUACCUUUGGUAAAAUCUUUAGAAUCUUGUUCAUAUCUUCCUCAAAAUUUUCUUCCAGUAUCCUAUCAGCUUCAUCGAUCACAAGGCACUGCAAUUUGAUGGAACAAAUAUAAAGAUGAAAUAUCCAGUAUAGUCAUAUAACUAUAAGUACAGUUAAAACCCAAGCUAGAAAAAAUAUAAUUAUAAACCAAAGAAUCUGUAGUUUUCCCUCUUUUAUCCUUUCACAAAGGCCGCGGAAUGAACACAGCAAUAAGCUUCUGUCUAUAGUUCACCUAUGGCUCUUCAACUAUAACUGUUUGUCCAUGUGGAUCAACAGUAAUAGUAUUCUAACUUCUACUUAUCAAAAAGAAGACUUGCAAAUUAGAAGAAUGAAAAGGAGACUAGGAGAGUACCUUAAGGUGUUUAUAAAUGAAACCCUUUGUAUGUUGAAGAUGGUCAAGAAGACGCCCAGGAGUUGCAAUCAGCAAAUUAGAACCAUUUGCAAUACGUUGAGCUUCUGUCCUUCUGUUAUUGCCACCAAUAACCAUGCUGACCGUCAGCGAAUGAUGCUUGAGUAGCUCCUCCGCCACAUUUUUUGUCUGCAAUAUUAAAAAAAAAAACAGUAGAGUGAAAAACGUGGGAUGAGAAGCCGCAGUAACAUACAACUUAACGAGUCCUACAUGGGGCAUUGCAAGAGUUACAGGACUCAUCUACUCACAGUGACAGUAUGGUAGAUAAAGAAGGUUAUUUACCUGGAUAGCAAGUUCUCUAGUGGGGCAAAUAACGAUGACACCAGUCCCGUUGCGAGGAGAGAAACGCUCUUUAAACAGCAACUCUACAGCCGGUAUGAGGAAAGCAAGGGUUUUACCGGAACCAGUCCUGGCAGCACCAAGAACAUCUUUUCCUUCCAAAAGAGGAGGAAUUGAUCCAGCUUGAAUCUAAAUAAGAGCAAAUGAUUAAAACAUUAUUUUUGCAAAUCUUGUCUAAACAUCAGAAACAAGGUUCAAGAGUUUUACGUACUUGCGUCAUGUGCUCAAAGCCCAUCGUCUUGAUAGCUUCAAAAGUCUGCUCAGACAACUCUAGGGAUUCAAAAGUCUCAUUAGUCAUUAUCCCUUUCCCAACAACCACCAUCUUCUUCUCUUCAUCUAGUUCUUCUUCUUCCUUUGCUUCCACCUCUUCCUCGGUUUUGUCUCCUCCCUGAGACUUCACUUUCUUAACCUUCUUUUCUUUCUUGUUCUGGACUUUAUCAGCCUUCUCCUCUACCAUGUGGGUUUCUUCUUCUUCUUCUUCUUCGGCUCUUUGCUGCUCAUUCUUCUUCCCACGGUUACGCUUUCUUAUCCUCUUCUUCACCUCAUCACUGGACUUCUUCUCCAGCUCAACCAUGUCUGAGCUCCGAAUCCCACUCAACCAACUCUCUGCAGCAAAACUAACAAACAUAUAAAAAACAAAACAAAACAUUUGAGAGUAAUUACAAAUAUCCGAAAGAGGGUCAGUUCCAAGGUUAAUACAAUAAACGAGACCGUAAUCGUAAUUAUUAGUCUAAAAAAACCGUGAAUUUAGAUUCUAAAAAAUCGAAGCUUUAGGAUAGUAUACCAAACCAAGGUGGGUGAAGAUUGUAAUAGCUCGUGUAUUACAAUAGAACAAGAAAAGUUUGUACUUACAUGUAGAAACGAAACCACUCCAAAGGAUUCGACAGCUCAGAGAAACUUUAGAGAGAUAUCAGAGUGACAAGGCGGCGCAUAGACAAGACAAGGUUUAGGGUUUAAACGAGUCUUUGUAAUCCAACUUUGUUUUGGGCUGUAUUUAGAAUAUUGAUUUUAGUGCGGUAUAAUAUUAUAAAGAAUUCAUAAUAUAAGGGACUCAAAAAAGAAAAUAAAAUAUUGGAAGGGCCUUUAAAUGCAAAAGUUAAUUUCAUUUUCUUCUCCCUUUGAAUUCCGAUCAAAAUUUCACGGUGUCUACCGUCGCCGUCGCUAACGGUGUCAUUCGUUAACGGUAGAUUGCUCUAAAGAGUUAUAUAGAGAGAAGGAAUUCGAGUCUCUCAUUUUCAUCAGGUGAAUACAAAGAUGGUCAACCCUAAACGCAUAUGUGAAGAAUCUGAUUCCUUGUAAGCAAUCUCGGAUUGAUAAAACAAUCGAUCAGAUCUUUGUGGAAAGGCCGUAGCUUUAAGGGAGGAGGAGCCGAUACUUCUGAUCUGCGAAUCAACAACGUUGAAGCCUCGCCCAUGAUUAGAGAUUUCGAAUAUUCUCUUGCCUUUGGGUUUCUAUAAACGAAGAGCUUUGAGUUUGUGAUUCUCAGCUUUUGCUAAUCUUCUGAUCGAUCUCUGAGGAAGCCAUGGAAGAGUCUUCCCAGGUUAGUGGAUCCUUCUCUUCAAGAUCUCAACCUCUGAUGCCUGUGGAUACAAUCUUAAUCAUUGGUGUUUAGAGAAAUGUUCAGGGAACAUAAUAUAGUCAUGAAGCUGGGAUAUGUUUUAGAAGUAGUGCAUGUUUAAACAUUUGAGGUCAUAAGCUAGUGACUGCAUCUGAUACUAAUACUAGAGUUAUCCAUUGCGUAAUGAGACUGUUCUCUUGCAUAGUUUUUAAAGAGCCAGCUGAGAAAUAGCGUUAGGCACUGAAAAUAUAACUGUUACUUUUGCUUUCUCCAGGGGAGUUUUGUUACGACCAUAAACGAAGAGUAUGAAACAAUUUGCUGGGGCUGUGGACUAAACCUUGUCCUUCCAUCGUACGCACCUGUUUUCAAGUGUGGAUGGUGUGGAGCAAUCACCAAUCAGAAUCCAGUCAGACUUGAAACCAGAAACUUUGGGCUGAGGCGGUUCCGUGACCGCUGUUUUGUCCUUAUUCUUGCUGUCUUUAUGCUCUUUGUCAUAUGUAAGUUCCUCCUCUAAGUAGUCCAAAAGAAUAACAUAAAUUUUAGAAAUGAUAUACUCAUUUUGGAAAGAAACUUCAGGUGGUGGGAUUUGGGCAGCGUUUCCGGUCGUGUUUUCGAUCAGCUUGGCUUGUGGGAUUUUCCAUUCCGUUACAGCAGUGUCUCUGGCGAUAUCAACACUAUCAACAUUCAUCCUUGUUGCUUUUAAGUGCGCCGGGAAACCGAUAGAUAUUGUUUAUGGAACCCAUCCUGGAGUAGGGAGCGGCGCACUCAACAACUAUACCUUUUGUCACCACUGCUCCAAACCAAAGUCACCUAGAACCCAUCACUGUCGCACCUGUGGCAUGUGUGUCCUCGACAUGGAUCAUCAUUGCCCCUUUGUAAGUCCAAUGGCUUCACAUAGAGUACUUGGUUCCUUAACAUGUGUCCUAAGGCUAAUGACUCUCCAUGUGUUGUAUUUGCAGAUUGGUAACUGUGUUGGUGCGGGCAAUCACAAAAACUUCAUCGCCUUCCUUAUCUCAGCGGUCAUAAGCACAAUCUACGCUGCGGUUAUGUGUGUAUACACCUUGAUCCACAUCUUGCCACCCCUGGAAAACCAAGCAGCGUAUGCAUCCGACAUGGCGCAUGCUAAUAGUUUGUCUGUUCUGAGAGUGGUGAAGAACAUCACGCUUGCUUACAUAGCCAACGCUAUCUUCGUCUCUGUACGAGGCCUUGUUCUAGUAUACCUCUUUGUGGCGAGUUUUUCAGUGGCGAUUGGGCUGAGUGUUUUGCUGUGGCAGCAGCUUAGCUAUAUCUAUGAAGGCAAGACUUACUUAAGCCAUUUGAGUUCUCAGGGAAGUGAGGAAGAUGGUGAAAAGAGCUGCGGGAAUCUUUUGAAGUUUUUUGGAUGUCCGCUUUUGAUUGAAAGGUACUUGCCGACUAUAAGGAACUUGAGGAAGAGGCAUAAGACAUGAGAAGAGAAUGGUGAGCGCAAUACGUUCUCCCUCCUGCAACAUUUGGAGCUUGUUUUUGGUCAUUAUACAUUAAUCAUACUUGGAGCUAACAGGUAAUGAAGAUGAGCAAAGUUUGUAUCUCGUUUGUGAAAACUCAUGUUCAUAGAAGAUGAUUGGUACAUUUUGUUUCAAGAUUGUAAAAUUUUGCUUCCCUGAUAUGCCUUGAAUUCAAUAAUAACAGUAUCCGUGGAGUCUUUGGGAAAAGUGUUUUCUUUCAGCUAUUUAGUUUUAUUGAUCGAAAGAAGUAUGAACAAAGGGGAUAACAAACAAAUCAACAUUGUCACAAAGAGAUUAGAUCUCUGAGAUUUGGUCUAACUUUCCAUAUCACUAUGUGGAGAAAGAGAAGUGGAAGAUUCUGAAUGCAAGGGCAUCUGCAAUGCUUGUGUAAGAGAUGUGGUAUGGCCUGUCCAUUUCCAAGAAACUUUGCUAUAGUUGCUGAGAUGUUGCUGAUCUGAUCGAUUUGUUCCCCGGUCACUGUGUUUUGGACCAGAACAGGUUUCUCCACCAUGGAAUGGAAUGAUGGUUAUCUUGAUAAGCUUUUCUGUGUCCUGGUCUUGUGUCUGUCUUAAGAAACUGAAACAGCAACACUUUACUGUACUGGACACUGUUUUUGUCAAAGUCACACUUUAAUCGUACUUAGCUUAACACUACUUUUUUUCCAUUUAUCAUUUUCCCUUUACUUUCUUUUUUUGUGCAAGUGAUACAUACUGCUAGUGAGACAUGCUAAAACGCUUCCAUAAAGGGUAUUAUUAAGCAAACAUUAAUGAUUACAAAAAAAAAACUCCGAAUAAAUGUGGAAACUCACUCACGACAUAUAGUUAGUCACACUGCAUAUAUAGAAUCUUCUGGCAUUAUUGAAAAGACAGAGAUUGAUAAAAAUGUUCUAAACUGAUAGUUGCAUCAAGCUCUAAGUAUAUAUAAGAGAAUAUGGUUAUGAGAGAUUGCCAGAGAUCAAAUCUCAUAGAGAGGUCUGACACUCUGUGUUGACCGAUCCAUGUAUUGAUAAACCGGUGGUGUUUGAACAAGCUGAUGCGGAUAACCAUUGGUGUUAUUGUUGUUGCUGUUGUAGCCGUUCUGCAACCCGUUCAUCCCAGUUCCUUGCGUCCAAAGUAACCCUGAAUAAUCUUCCACUUUCAUGUUGUUGUUGAUCCCAGCUCCUUGAACCCCAUAGGGAUCUUCCACUUCGAAACAAUUCUGAUAAAACUGGUUAGAGAAACCAUUAAGACAGUUGGUGUUGAAGCCGUUGUAGGGUAACAUGCUCGUGUUAAAAACCUCAUUCAUCCCAGCUCCUUGUGACGCAAGUAACCUAGAAUACAUCUCCAUAUUCGGAUCCUGGUGUAUAGUCAGUGAGUUUGGUAACGGAGCCAGAGAAUACGCUUGGUUAGAAGCUGAUAUCGAGGCUUGGCUUUGCGGUAAAGUACUGUUUCCAUGGUUAAACAGAUUCAUGGAAGCUUGGUUUGAACGUUCUGGAACCAUGAUCUGUUCUUGACCAGCCAUGUUCGUGUAAUGCAUAUUCCUCUGUCUUUGAGAUUCAACAACAGCUCGAAGCCUAUGUUGCAUCAUGGUUUGACUACGCUCCAAAGACUGAAUCAGCACCUCGAGUUGCUCUACAGAGUACUUAUCAAACCUCGGGUGCCAGUCUGGAUACUUGUAACUGGAUCCAAGCUUCGCUCUCUUCUUCUUCUUUUUCUUAUUCUUGGAAUCAUUAUCCUUCUUGAUACUCUCAAGAAACAGGUCAAGAUCAUAUUGUUUUACUUCACGCUUCGCUUCGCUUAGUUCACUGUACCUUCGAGCCAUGUCUUUGACCUUCUCUCUGUCCUCAGGCCAUGUUUUGAGCUCUCCGUAUGAUCCGUAGUAGAUGACGCAGACUUCGACGCCACAGAGGAUUGAAAGCUCGUUAGCUUUCUUGAAGACAUUCUCUUGUCUUUUAGUUAAGCGUUUAGCUUCCGAAGAAGAAGGUUUCUUGAAGAGAGAAGACAAAGAAGAAGAAGAAGAAGCCAUCGUCAUGUUUUGUGUCUGUGGUUUUGAACUAAAUGAAGAGUUUGUGAUUAUUGUCUAUUGUGUUUCCAAAUAUAUAGAAAAUAUUAACCGCAAGAUCAUAAAUGAUUGCUGUAAGAUCCGGUUUCCUUUUUCAUAUGAUUUUCCUUUUUAAUUAAUUUCGAUUCUAAACGAGUGGUUUGUUUCUAAUAAGGAAAUAUAUAUUUUCGCUAAAUAAUAUGGCAAAUAUUAACACUAGUGGUUUCCGCUAGAGGAAGAGUUGCCCUGUUGGUCCAUGCCAGGGAUCAAUUCCUCUCUACUGCGAAAUUAUUAGUUUCACAUGUGGCCACGCGGAUAUGGACCCAUGUUUACGGCUCAUUUGAAUACCCGAGAGAGGAUCCAUCCGUGGGUUGUACCUCACACCCGGGGAUUAGGUCUGUGUUUUUAAUAGAUCCGGGUUUAACCCUUUUCGGUUAAAAAAAAAAUAUGGCAAAUAUUUACAUAAGUAAUGGAUACUUGCUAUACAAGAAAUAAACGGCCGACUGUUUUUUUUUUUUGAUGUAAAUAAACGGCCGACUGUUGACAAAAGAAAAAACGGCCGACUAAGUUGGGAACUUGGGAAUGUUGUAUUGUUCAAUUUACGUCAUUCAAUUAUUAUAUUAUAAGUCUACAUAUAAUAUAUAUUUUCUGUAUAAAUACUUUGAUUUUUGCUAACACUUUUAAUAUUUUGUAUAUAAUUUCUGGAAUUUGUGUUUAAAUGAAAAUAUUUUGAGCGCGACAUUGUACUCGGGUGGCAAUGGACAGACUUGGGACGCAAACACAUUUUAAAUUCGAUGUUCCUUCUGUGCGAAACUAAAUCAUAUAGGUCUAUAUGCGGGCAUUGACUCCCCUGAAUUCAACCAGGUUAAAAAAAAACUACAAAAAAAUAUAUUUUACUAUUUUUACUACAUAUUUUGUAUACAAUUUUUGGAAUCUAAAAAGUGUGUUAAAUGAAAAUAUUUUGAGCAGGACCUUGUGGACGGAUGACGGGGGACAUGCUUGGGAUGCGUUCGUACUCUGCGAAACUAAAUUAUGUAGGUCCAUUUGCAGGCUUUGAGUCCCCCGGAUUCAACCAUGUUCAAAAAAAAUUUACAAAAAAAAAUAUAUUUUACUAUUCUGUUAAAAACUAAAAUACAUAUUGUCAUCUAUCAAAAUUUCAUAAAUAAUACAAUAUGUAUUAAAUAAAUAAAUAAAUGGUGAUUUUGCUGUAUAUUCAUAAGAGAGAAAAAAAAUAAAAAUAUAACCAUUCUACAUAUGUAAGCGGCGCGACAUUGUAGUGGGGUGGCAGUGGACAGACUUGGGACGCAAACAUAUUUCAGAUUCGAUGUUCCUUAUGUGCGAAACUAAAUCAUGUAGGUCUAUACGCGGGCAUUGACUUCCCUGAAUUCAACCAGGUUAAAACAAAUUACAAAAAAAUAUAUUUUACUAUUCUUACUACAUAUUCUUUAUACAACUUUUGGAAUCUAAAAAGUGUGUGAUAAAUGAAAAUAUUUUGAGCGGGACCUUGUGGUCUUGUGACAGGGAACAUGCUUGGGACGCAAACAUAUUGCAAGUUCGAUGUUCUUACUGUGCGAAACUAUAUCAUGUAGGUCCAUCUGCAGGCUUUGACUCCUCCGGAUUCAACCAGGUAAAAAAUAUAUAUAUAUAUAUAUUACAAUUCUGUUAAAAACUAAAAUACAUAUUAUCAUCUAUCAAAAUUAAAUAAUACAAUAUUUAUUAAAUAAAUAAUUAAAGGGUGAUUUUGAUGUAUAUUCAUUAGGGCUGGGCAAAAAAUCCGGAUCCGAAGAACCGAACCGAACCCGAUCCGAAAAAGUAGUACCAAACCCGAACAUAAAUUGAUUAAAUAUCCGAACGGGUUCAAAAUUUUGGUAUCUAGAGAACCUAAACCGAACCCGGCCCGAACCGAAGUAUAUCGGGUACCCGAAUGUAACCGGAAUAAAUUUAUAUACCUAAAUAUAUUACUUACUUUUAGAUUUAUAUAUUAAAAACAUUCAAAAUAUAUAAGAUACUUUUAAGUUGUCUAAAAACCGAACCGAACCCGAUCCGAAAAAGUAGUACCAAACCCGAACAUAUUUUAAAAUUUUAAAAAUAAUUUAAAUGGGUUAUUCGAACCCGAACCGAACCCGCAAAGAUCCGAACCGAACCCAAGCUAACACAUUUUAAAUUCGAUGUUCCUUCUGUGCGAAACUAAAUCAUAUAGGUCUAUAUGCGGGCAUUGACUCCCCUGAAUUCAACCAGGUUAAAAAAAAACUACAAAAAAAUAUAUUUUACUAUUUUUACUACAUAUUUUGUAUACAAUUUUUGGAAUCUAAAAAGUGUGUUAAAUGAAAAUAUUUUGAGCAGGACCUUGUGGACGGAUGACGGGGGACAUGCUUGGGAUGCGUUCGUACUCUGCGAAACUAAAUUAUGUAGGUCCAUUUGCAGGCUUUGAGUCCCCCGGAUUCAACCAUGUUCAAAAAAAAUUUACAAAAAAAAAUAUAUUUUACUAUUCUGUUAAAAACUAAAAUACAUAUUGUCAUCUAUCAAAAUUUCAUAAAUAAUACAAUAUGUAUUAAAUAAAUAAAUAAAUGGUGAUUUUGCUGUAUAUUCAUAAGAGAGAAAAAAAAUAAAAAUAUAACCAUUCUACAUAUGUAAGCGGCGCGACAUUGUAGUGGGGUGGCAGUGGACAGACUUGGGACGCAAACAUAUUUCAGAUUCGAUGUUCCUUAUGUGCGAAACUAAAUCAUGUAGGUCUAUACGCGGGCAUUGACUUCCCUGAAUUCAACCAGGUUAAAACAAAUUACAAAAAAAUAUAUUUUACUAUUCUUACUACAUAUUCUUUAUACAACUUUUGGAAUCUAAAAAGUGUGUGAUAAAUGAAAAUAUUUUGAGCGGGACCUUGUGGUCUUGUGACAGGGAACAUGCUUGGGACGCAAACAUAUUGCAAGUUCGAUGUUCUUACUGUGCGAAACUAUAUCAUGUAGGUCCAUCUGCAGGCUUUGACUCCUCCGGAUUCAACCAGGUAAAAAAUAUAUAUAUAUAUAUAUUACAAUUCUGUUAAAAACUAAAAUACAUAUUAUCAUCUAUCAAAAUUAAAUAAUACAAUAUUUAUUAAAUAAAUAAUUAAAGGGUGAUUUUGAUGUAUAUUCAUUAGGGCUGGGCAAAAAAUCCGGAUCCGAAGAACCGAACCGAACCCGAUCCGAAAAAGUAGUACCAAACCCGAACAUAAAUUGAUUAAAUAUCCGAACGGGUUCAAAAUUUUGGUAUCUAGAGAACCUAAACCGAACCCGGCCCGAACCGAAGUAUAUCGGGUACCCGAAUGUAACCGGAAUAAAUUUAUAUACCUAAAUAUAUUACUUACUUUUAGAUUUAUAUAUUAAAAACAUUCAAAAUAUAUAAGAUACUUUUAAGUUGUCUAAAAUACUUGAAAAUAUACAUAAAUAGUCAAAAGUAAAUGUCUAAAAUAGCUAAAAUAUAUUCAAAACACCAAAAUGCUUGAAAUAUUUAUUGAUUUUCUAUCCAAAUAUUCAAAUCAAACCAAUUUAUAUGUUAAUUUUAGGUAUUUUUACAUAUAUUAUACAAAUUUGUAUGUAAUAUAUUAUUUUGUUUUAUAGAUUUUGAGAAAUUUUAAGCAUAUAAUGAAUAUUAAAAUUUUAAAAAUAAUUUAAAUGGGUUAUUCGAACCCGAACCGAACCCGCAAAGAUCCGAACCGAACCCAAGCUGAAAUUUAGAAAUACCCGAAUGGAGCUGAAAUCUUUAAACCCGAAAACCCGAAACCCGAUUAGAUCUGAACCGAACCCGAACGGGUACCCGAACGCCAACCCCUAAUAUUCAUAAGAGAGGAAAAAAAUAAGAAUAUAACCAUGUUACAGAUGUAAGCGGCGGAUGAGACAAUUUUUGCACAAAUCUGACUGAAAUCUCCUUCUAGGCGUGUGCGCUUGAUGUUGACGCUCCAAAGCUAAAGAUAUGAUACUAUACUAUAUACCAUAUCAUAUAUUCUACACAAAAGAGUCAAAUAAUUACGAGAUUGUGUAUCAUCCAUUAGGUGACUGUACUUUACAUGAUUACGACACAAUAUAGAAUACUCGACACAAACACAUAAGCCAUUCACUUUUGUGUUUGUCAUCAAUGCCUAACCAAUUGAAAGGCUCAAAGUUAGUAUGACGGCUUGAGAAUGUUAACAUACAUAACAACCGUAUUAGCCAUUAGGAGACAAUUUUAGUUUUGUCACAAAAUUGCAGACACGAAACAAAGUUUACAAGAUAGAGAGAAACAAUAUGCAUGUAAAAGGAUUGUUUGAGACACAUUGCACACACAAGGAAACGCACCGUUUUGCUAAAGGGAGAAAAUUUGGGCGAUAAGGGUUUUGGGUUCUGCCGUCGCGAAGGCAUCACGUCGGCGCUAUUCUGGGGCAUUCUGUUGGAAGAUUCGGAGAUUUCGGUACCUCCAGGGGAGGCUUCACAGCUUGCUCAGUUGGUGUUGAGUCAGAAAGUUGGUUCGUGGGUGGGAGCCGUUCAGGGUAAGCGAGUUCUAACGAAGUUCGAGGUCGAUGUUCAAAUGAAAGAUGGGGUUGGUACGGUGGAUGUUCCAGAAGAGGUCAUGAAGGAUGCAGCUCCUUUGUGGGAAGAUUUCCUCAUAGGGAAAUUCCUUGAAACUGCUACACAUAUCGCCAAGGUUCACGCCAUUGUUAAUAAGAUAUGGGCUUUCAGCGAUAAGAAUCAGAUGAUAGAGGUGUUUGAGGUCAACGCUAACACAAUGAAGUUUCGAAUCACAAACUCGGAGAUGAGGAAUCGGGUAUUGAGAAGAGGAAUGUGGAAUCUUGCAGAGGUUCCAGUUGUGAUGACAAAGUGGACUCCUUUUGCUGAAGAAAAACAAGUAGAGAUACAGUCGGUACCAAUGUGGGUUCACAUGAAAAAUGUCCCUAUGAAUAUGUUUUCAUGGAAAGGUCUCAGCUUUGUAUCAAGUCCUCUGGGUACUCCUGUUAGACUUCAUCCAGAAACAUCACAGUGUCUGAAUCUGAAAGAGGCGAAGAUCUUUGUAAAUGUUGAUCUAACAAAGAAGCUUCCGAAUAAGAUGAAAUUCUCAUUUCAAGGAAAGGAGACAAUGGUGGCGUAUAGCUACCCUCGCUUACCUAUAAGGUGCUCUACAUGUGAAAAGUGGGGGCACACUGCUAAAGUGUGCUUAGUCAAUGGAGGAGAGAAAAGGGAAGGGCAACACUCUGAUAAGUCCGGAGAGAAAAAAAUUUCCGAGAAAGAUGAUAAGGAGAUGGAAAACAGUAAGGAAGUUUCGAUGGAAGAGGGUGUCACAGGUAUUCUGUACCUCGGAGAAAAAAGUGAAGAACCAUCUAUGGAACAGGAGAAAGAAGAAAGUAUGCCAUCUGCAGACAAUAAGGGAAGUAGGAAUGUGGGGGAGGAGAACGGAAGCUCAACAAGUGGUGAACAAUUAUCUGUAUCAGUUUCUCCUGGAACAGAACUUGGAGAUGUUCCGGGGAUCUCAGAACAGGCUUCAAACGAAGAGGUGAAUCAGGUGUCGAUUGGAGGAUGUGUGGAGUUGGAAAGGAAGGAUGUAGACAAAGAGAAGGAGUGGUUGGAAAUUACUCCAGGGAAAGGGUGCAAAUCUCCGGGGAAACAGUUACAUAACUCAGAGUUGGGGCAAGCCAUCGUCUCAAACUCCAGAUUUUCUGUUCUCAGUCUUACGGAGGAAGAGGAGGAAGGUGAAAUAGUAGACACGAAGGAAGAGAAUGGAGAAACCGUGAAGCAGAAUGGUAGCUCUGUCAAGCCUGAAAUUGGGAUUCAGAGACAGUCGUUGCCAAGAGACUCAAAAUCAAAACACAAAAUUCUAGGAGACCACUCUGUUCAAAAAGCUAAGGAUGCUGUCCCUAGUGAUUUGAAUAAAAAGAAAAACCGUAAAAACCUUUAAUGUCUGGUUUCUUCUGGAAUAUUAGAGGUUUCAACAAACUUUCAAAACAGUCAGUAGUUCGAGAUUGGAUUCGUAGGGGUUCUUUUCAGUUUGGUUGUCUACUUGAGACAAGAGUAAAGGAGCGGAAAGUUGGGAGGAUCCUCUCAAAGGUCUGCCCUAGUUGGUCCUUUCUUUCAAAUUAUGAACAUCACCGUUUGGGGAGAAUUUGGUUAAUAUGGAGUCCGAAAGUGAGAAUCACACCUUGUUUCAAAAGUGCUCAGAUGAUCACUGUUUUGGUAUUAAUGGAGGGGGUGCAGGAGGAGGUUUUUAUUACCUUUGUUUAUGCUUACAAUCUGAUAGAGGAGAGAAAGGAGCUUUGGAGUGAUCUGAAAGCACAUCAGAACUCGCCGCUAAUCAGAAAUAAACCAUGGAUAGUAUGUGGAGAUUUUAAUGAAAUACUAGAGGAUCAGGAACACUCAGGCCAUGAGCACUCUUCUAUCCUAGCGCCAGGCAUGGGAGACUUCCAAGAGGCUGUGUCCUACUGUUCUCUCUUGGAUAUGUCUUACCACGGGCCAAAGUUCACCUGGUGUAACAAAAGAGAGGGUGACCUUAUCUGCAAGAAACUUGAUCGCACUUUAAUUAAUGGGGUCUGGAUGAGGAGGUUCCCUCAAGCUUAUUGUGUAUUUGAAGCUGGAGGAUGCUCAGACCAUCAGCGCUGUAGAAUUUCUAUCACAGCAGAUCAAUUGAAGCCAAAACGUCCCUUUAAGUUCACAAAUGCAGUUGCUGAUAUGCCGGAAUUUCUCCCGCUGGUCAAAUCUUUCUGGGAUGAGACAGUACCAUUACAUAUCUCGACCUCUGCUCUGUUUCGGCUUGGAAAGAAAUUGAAAAGCCUUAAACCACUGUUGAGGAAACUGAGUAAAGAUAAAAUUGGAGAUAUAGUAAAGAAGACGAAGGAAGCGUAUAUCAAGUUGUGUGCGGCUCAGACACAGACUUUGACUGAUCCGACUCAGCUGAAUAUGGAAGAAGAAACGAAAGCUCGAGAAAGAUGGCAGUUCCUCUCGGACUUGGAGGAGAAAAUUCUUAGUCAGAAAGCGAAACUCCAUUGGUUGAAUAUUGGAGAUGGAAACAACAAGCAGUUUCACUGUGCUGCUAGAGUAAGAGAAACUCGGAACGCCAUUAGAGAAAUUCAGAGAUCAGAUGGUACAGUGGCUGAUAAUCAAGAAGAUAUCAAGAAGGAGGCAGUGUCGUACUUUAGUAGCUUUCUAUCAUAUGAACCAGCAGAUUACAGGGGUGUCACAAUGGAGGAUAUGCAGAGUUUAUUGGACUUCCGAUGCAGUGAGGAAAUGCGAUCCUCUAUGGUUAGAGAAGUGUCGGCUGAGGAGAUAAGGAAGGUGAUUUUUGGUAUGGCUAGGAAUAAAUCUCCGGGUCCGGAUGGCUACACCUAUGAAUUCUUUAAAGCUGCUUGGCCGGUAGUAGGAGGAGACCUUGUGAUGGCUAUUAGAUCUUUCUUCGAGAACGGAUUCCUACCUAAAGGGCUUAACUCCACUAUUUUGGCUUUGAUUCCAAAGAAAGAGGAAGCUUUACACAUGAGGGACUACCGACCCAUCUCAUGUUGUAAUGUUGUCUACAAAGUCAUCUCAAAAAUACUUGCAAGGCGGCUCAAGUCUCUUCUACCCAGUUUCAUCUCCAAAAACCAGUCAGCCUUCGUUAAAGACCGCUUACUGAUGGAGAACGUCCUGCUAGCUUCUGAACUGGUGAAGAGUUACCACAAGACCUCUGUUUCGACGAGAUGUGCAGUCCAAAUUGACAUCUCGAAAGCCUUUGAUUCGGUCCAAUGGCCUUUCCUCCUUACAGCUCUAUCAGCCCUUAAUAUUCCGGAGAGAUUUGUGUUAUGGAUCAAGAAGUGUAUUGAGCUAGCGUCAUUCUCAGUGCAGGUGAAUGGGGAACUUGCUGGAUAUUUUAAUAGUAAGAGAGGUCUCAGACAAGGCUGUUCUUUAUCCCCUUACCUUUUUGUUAUAUGUAUGGAAGUGUUAUCGAGAAUGAUGGACAAAGCAGCAACUGAGCAGAGGAUUGGAUACCAUCCAUACUGUCAAGAUAUUAGGCUAACACAUCUGUGUUUUGCCGAUGAUGUUUUGGUGUUUUCAGAUGGGAAGAAGAGUUCGAUAGAAGGCAUUAUGUUGGUUUUCAAAGAAUUUGCAGAGAUGUCUGGGCUGACUAUAAGUCUGGAGAAGUCAACAUUAUUUAUGGCUGGAGUGGAAGAUGAGGACAGGGUCCAAAUCCUGGAUCAGUUUCCCUUUGCGGCAGGGACUCUUCCGGUACGAUACCUUGGUCUCCCUCUGUUGACAAAGAGAAUGACAGUGCAAGAUUACAGCCCCCUUAUUCAGCGAAUCAAGCAACGAAUCAGCUCAUGGACUGCAAGACAACUCUCGUUUGCAGGUCGUCUGCAGCUCAUUAGUUCGGUGAUUCACAGUUUGACAAAUUUUUGGAUGUCCGCAUUUCGACUUCCGAAACAAUGCAUCAAGGAGAUUGAUCAGUUAUGAUGCGCCUUCCUCUGUUCAGGACCUGAUCUCUCAUCGCAUAAAGCUAAGAUCGCAUGGAAGGAUGUGUGUAAGCCUAGGGAAGAAGGAGGUUUGGGUCUGAGGUCACUCAAUGAAGUGAAUUCGGUUUGCUGUCUCAAAUUGAUAUGGAGAGAUUUGUCAGCUAAGGAGUCGCUUUGGGUUUUCUAGAUUCAUCGGUAUCUAAUAAGGAAGGGCUCACUGUGGAGUGUUAAUGAAAGAAGCUAUUUGGGGUCUUGGAUAUGGAAGAAGUUACUUAAAUUUCGACCCCUUGCAUCGAUGCUCACUCGGAUGGAGAUUGGUAAUGGAUCCUACACAUCCUUUUGGUUUGACAAUUGGUCUCCUUUGGGAAGAUUGAUAGACUUGACUGGGUCUCGAGGCUGUAUUACCAUGGGCAUUCCAAUAAAUACUACUGUGGAGGCUGUGGUCCAAAAAUACAGACGUCGCAGACACAGAGUGGAGGUUUUGGUUCAGAUAGAGAAAGAGAUUCUAAAUCUUCGGACCAGAGGCCUAUCACUAGAAGAUGACACUCGAUUGUGGAAAACAGAGGCAGGUAACUUUCAGUCUUGUUUUAGUACGAAGCAAACUUGGGAGAUCAUAAGAAGUCAGUCCCCACGUGUUACUUGGAGCAAAGGGGUGUGGUUUAGGGGCAUGACUCCUAAGUUUUCGUUCAUAACAUGGCUCGCCAUUCAGAAUCGUCUAGCUACUGGGGACAGGAUCCAAAAAUGGAACCCACAAGCUGACACUCUGUGUUUGCUGUGCAAGAGCUCCAUGGAAUCAAGAGAUCACCUAUUCUUCACCUGCUCAUAUUCUCAAACCAUCUGGUAUGGUCUUGUAGGUAGGCUGUUAGCUUCUCGGUUCUCUAAUAAUUGGAAUCAGACUCUAAAUAUGGUGUCUGAGGGUACUACAGAUGCAACAACAACCUUCCUGAUUCGGUAUGCAUUUCAAACGGCAGUAUACUCUGUGUGGCAGGAGAGAAAUGGCCGUCGGGUGGGAGAACGGGAGUGGUCUGCUGCUCUGUUACUCUCGAGAAUUGAUAAGCAAGUGCGAAAUCGCAUCUCCUCAAUAAACAGGGCAGGUCCUUCAAGACUACAAACUGCCAUGCAGCUUUGGUUUGGUAGUCGAUAGAGUAUAGUCAAUUUUGUACAGAAGUUGAGUUAGUAUCAUUCCAAACACUGAUGCAUUUAUUGUACAAAGGUUUUUGAGAUGAAUAAAUUUAGCAUUCAUUCAAAAAAAAAAAAAAUAUGCAUGUAAAAUUAUAAAAAAAAAACACCAUUGAUGAAUGCAUAAGACUCAUGUAAGAUGAAAGUAAACAACACAAAAUCACUCAUUGCGUGAGUAGGUCCGGGUUAAAGCUGGAGAAUACUUCAACCGCACAUGUCUGUGCUGCGACGCCAAAGGAGGCUCACAACUGUGAGUCUGUGAGGAUGGUGUAUUGAUGAAGUUGGCGUAUCGCAUUGAGGUCCAUGAGAAAACGAGAUGUGGUGAUGGUGGCGGUGCUAUAAGUGAGAGAGCAACAAAAUAAUAUAUAUUGUGAUACAAAUAUAUUUUAUAUGUCGAUAAUAGAAUAGUUCUCUCAAAAUAGAAUUAAAAAAAUAGUCCAUUUGCAAUGUAGUCAUCGAAAGUAAAGCUGUUGAACUAGUGAAGGAGAAGAAACCUGCAAUGUAGAAUGAUACACCAAUAGAAUAAGGUUGAUGGAGAUGUCGUUAGAGUUGAUGAAGUAGGAGAAAAAUAACCACAAAAGUUAGAGGAGAAGAAGAGACAGUAAGAUGAGGUGAGGAAACAAUGAUUGGCGACAGUGAUGGAAUACAAGACAAGGAGCUGAUGGAAUAGUAAAGAAGAAUAAUCAGGAGACGAACAAUAGGAAACAAUUCGCAGAGAUAGAAUAAAAGUAUAUGAUACUAUACUAUAAUUAUAAAAUAAAAUAGAACAUGUCAAAAAUUUACUGUUAAUAUUCUCUAAUUCAAUCAAUCGCUUGAUUCUUCGUCUGUUGAAAGAUCGGUUGACGAAACUAUUU
rnacentral:lncRNA from 1 species